AUUUGGCAAGCUGCCUGAAUGACUUUUUGAUGCACCUGCUGAGAUGCUGAGAUGGGUAUUCCGUGUGCUGAGGACGGUAUGUUUACGAGGAGAAAUAAGAAGCAGAGGUAGCCGCUAGGAAGGUCCCGAAGAGUCCAGUCUGAAGGGAUGAAUGAGGAGGUGGAAAAACAAAACAAAACAGACCUCAAGUGAGCAGUGUAUACUCUCGCAAGUGCAGCUCCCUCCUCCUGUUCCGAGCCGUCAUGGCUUCUGAGGCAUUGAAGUAGAUGGUUAUGGGCUCUCAUUUAUUUUAAAUUUUAGGUUGACAUUUUGGAAAAACAAAGAAACAGAUAAAAACCAAACAACCUCCCACCGUAAAUAGUCAUGUAGUGAAUGAUAACCAGAGAGUAAAACAGCACACGUAGAUAGGCCUUCAGCUACAUACCUACUCUUCUAGGAUUGUUUUAUAGCCAAAAUAAUAAACAAGUAACUGUUUUCAGCCUGACAGCUAAUUUCCUUACAUUGGAACACCAAAGUCCCCUAAAACAAACAAACAACAAAAAAGAAAUGACCACACUACCAUUUAAGUCUUUAUAUUUUAUACUGGGCAGUGUGUCACUGAUAGUUUAUUCUUAAGUAGCACUUUAUUUUCUAACAUUGUGCUUCUGUGAUGUAUUUGCUCAUGAGCAGGGAGAGCUCUGACAAUAUUAAAAAUUUUAUGUGCUACAGAAAGAAUUCAUUUGAACAUGUAUUCAACCUCAAAAUUAUGAAUUUAGUAGAAUCCAUAGAAGAAAGAUCCAAUUCUGAUGAGAUGGGUCCGUAUUAUAACUUGCUAAGACAGAUUAAUUAUGAGAGAAGUACCAUAAUUUUUCUUUUAAGAUUUAGCCAGUGGUCUCUAGAAAUUAUCUUGGGUUUGAUCAUUUGAAAUAUUUGUUUAAUAUGAAAUGUGCAAGAAUAGAAGAGUGAGCGAAAUUGUGAGGCAAGCACAGUUUCUUGGCACUUCUUUUUUUAAAUGUUUAUUUUGAUUUUUAGUUAGCUUUUAACAGAUUCAAUCUGAUUUGCAGAUAAAAUUCUAAGAACAUGCUGGUAUUCCCUUCCUCCCUUCCUUCCUCUUUCCCUCCCUCCCAUCCUCCUUCUUUUUCCUUUUUGUCUUUUUUGUUUGUUUUUGAGAUAACAUAUUUUAAGUUUACAUUACAGUAAAAAGACUUAAUACUUCACCAAAUAAGAAGCUUAACAAGUUAAAAGUAAAAAAGAAAAAAACCCUAGUUUAGUGGGAAUACAGACAACUGCUAUAAACAAUAAUUGAAUGGAAAAAUUACCACUUCAUUUAUUUACAGUAAAGUUUAAAUUACAGAUCAUUGAAAGAAAAAAGAAAUGUCUAUGUGUAUCAGUAUUGCUGCAAAUAAAGAGGUUUUUUUAAAGAUUUAUUUAUUUACUUGAAAGAAUUACACAGAUAGAGAAGGAGAGGCAGAGAGACAGGUCUUCCAUCCACUGGCUCACUCCCCAUUUUGCUGCAACAGCCGGAGCUGCGACGAUUAAAGACAGAAGCCUGGAGCUUUUUCUGGGUCUCCCACACGGGUGGAGGGGCCCAAGCACCUGGGCCAUCUUCUGCUGCUUUCCCAGGCCGUAGCAGAGCUGGAUGGGAGGUGGAGCAGCAGAGACUGGAACCAGUACCCAUAUGGGAUGCCGACACUGCAGGCAGCGGCUUCACCUGCUAUGCCACAGCGCCGGUGCCACAAAUAUAUUUUUGUAAAACUUUAUUUAUACAUUUGUUGAAUCAAUGGUUAAGAACCUUGGCACUUCUUAAUUCCUUUGAUAAUACCAUAGAUCAUUAAACCAACACUUAUUUUCUCUAUACCUACUGGCCACAGCACUGGUUCCUGCUUAUUUUAUUUAAACUUCACAGCUUGCCUGUAAUGUACAUACCAUUGUUAUUUCCAUCUUUCUGAGAUGCGAAGUGUGGUGUUCAUGGCCACACAGCUUAUAAAUGCUGGUGUUGAGAUUAUGACUCCAGGGAUCUGAAUCUAACUCUAGAACCUAUAUUCCUUACCCCAUUGUUUUUCUCUUUAAGCCUUCUAUAUGGAGUACCACAUUUGUUUUUUCCAUGGGACUGCAUAAAGAAUACUAUUUGUGGUUCCCUUGCCCGCGAAGGAACGACACUGCUCCCAGCUGAUCGGUCUUCAGUAGACUUUAUUUUAACAGGAUAGAAAGAGAAACCCUUGAGCAAGGGGAGCUCCGAAAGAAAGGGGAAGCUCCCGUUCCAUAUCACAAACGGCUUAUAUAGUAUAUCAUUACAGAAGCAUGUAAUGCAAGCUUAGUCCAUGCUACAGUCCAUGUGGCGGUGCUCCAGUCGGGUGUCUGAUCACGCACAGUCCAUGCGCUCCUUGUCCAACCAUAAAGGUGAUCACGUGCCUUCAUCCAAUCAAGCUCCUGGUCACGUAGCAGGCGACUCGGGUGCUAACAACAAGCUUCCACCUGGUGUUUUCUCAACCUUGCUCAGUGGGAAAAGAAGCACGGGAUGCCCCAAGGCCAUAGUUGUUUUGACUCUAGCCUGGGGUUAUGAAACGGUCCCGAUAUCGCAGCUCAACAGAAACCAUAAACAUCCACACAGCAGUAACUAUUGCCAAUGGUCAGCUGUCGCUCCCCCUCUUCGUGGAGGAGCGACACUAAACCCUGCCUAGGCUUCAUAUCCGAGUCACGGCACCAUUAUGUCGCUCCCCCUCUUCGUGGAGGAACGACACUAAACCCUGCCUAGGCUUCAUAUCUGAGUCACGGCACCAUUAUGUCGCUCCCCCUCUUCGUGGAGGAACGACACAGGACCCUGCGCUGUUCUUUCGUCUGCUCGGCCCUCCCCGGGUUUGCUGCUGGUUCUUCCCGGUUUGGCUACUAUCCCUUCCACCUCCGUGGAAGGGCAGUUCCCCCUGGCCGCAUUCCCCACUUCCGCAGGGGAGCGGCACACCGCCGGCCGGCUUUCUCGGGGGCUGCACGGGUUCCCUUAGAUGUUCCCCAUAGAUGUUCCUGGUGCAUGUUGUCUCUCUCCUCCUUUAUAGUCCUCCUCCGCCAAUCCUAACUCGGCUGCCCACACGCCGAGUACGCUGCUCUCCUCCAAUCAAUAGCAAGUCCUACAGUUUAUUAGUUGAACUGGAGGCAGCUGUGCGGAAGCUGUUUACUUCUCUCCCAGCGCCAUACUGUGGGAGAGCAGAUGCAUAGAAUAAGUCUUAAUUCCAGUAACUCAGUCUAGUCCGGUUGCUCCCCACAGUCAGCAAGCUAAGCCUUAGCAUGUGGGCCCGUGGCCAGCCAUGGGUCCCCACACUAUUGAGGUUGUGAGGUUUAGGGCUGGUUCUCAGCUCUACUUCUGGCUGUGUGCACUGCCCUGCAGUAUUCUUGGCUUUCAUUUUCUCUCUGUAAAAUUAUGGUCUUAAGCUCUAUAGACAUUGUGGCAUUAUAUGAAUAUAUGAGAAGUCACAUUUGACCUAGAAGUGCUUUCUGAAGAGUGUAGGAGUUGUGAAAUAUAAAGUCAAAUUGUAAAUGAAGCUUAAACUGGAUAAAGGUGGAGCCUGUGUUGUGGUGCGACAGGUAAAUGGCAGAUAGCCAUUGCCUGCAAUGGCAGCAUCCUACAUGAGAGCCAGUUCAAAGCCCAGCUGCUCCAAUUUCAGGCUCCUGGUUGUGGCCAUUUGGGAAGUUAACCAGUAGGUGGAAGAUUGUCUCGGUUUCUCUUCUCUCUCUCUCUACCUUUCAAGUAAAUAAGUACAUAUAUCUUUUUUUUUUUUUUUUGACAGGCGGAGUUAGACAGUGAGAGAGAGACAGAGAGAAAGGUCUUCCUUCCAUUGGUUCACCCCCAAAUGGCCACUACAGCUGGUGCACUGCGCUGAUCCGAAGCCAGGAGCUAGGUGCUUCCUCCUGGUCUCCCUUGCGGGUGCAGGGCCCAAGGACCUGGGCCAUCCUCCACUGCCUUCCCGGGCCACAGCAGAGAGCUGGACUGGAAGAGGAGCAACUGGGACAGAAUCCGGCACCUUGACCGGAACUAGAACCUGGGGUGCUGGCGCCGCAGGCGGAGGGUUAGCCUAGUGAGCCGCGGCACCGGCCAAGUACAUAUAUCUUUAAAACACAAAUAACCAACCACAAAAACCAAUCCCCUCCAAAAAAAAACAAAAACAAAAAAACCAACAAAAACACCUGGGUAGAGACUUCCUGGGAGCAUUUGUGGAAAAAGAGACCCCUGAGCACAACUGAGAUCUUAGAAUUUACUAAAUGGCUGUUUACUUUUAAGAGUGAAGCCAGGGAAUUGAGGAGUAGAGAGAAGACCAAUCAGGUAAUUAACAAUGAUAAAUUGUCUUACAGAGAAUAACCUGAGAGAGAAAGGCUUUGUUUGAUUUAAGUACAAAUACCAAGAGAGAAAGGCAAAAAUCAACUGGUUUCCCUAAUCUGUGGGCAUUAGAAUAACACAGUAGCUGUUGAGACCAAAUUUGCCUGGUUUGUAGCCCUACGUACUGAAAAAUGACCCCCUUUCGCAAAGUAUUUCUGGGAAUACUGCAGAAUAUUUUUUUUGAAGUUUCAUGUUUUAUUUGUUGAAAAGAAAGAGGUCAUGUCAGCUAAUCAACUUCAACAUACAAAAAUGCAAUUCCCAAGCCUCUGAAUGCUGGUAUAAAGGAGAAAUUACAAAACCAACUUGUUAAGAAGUACUGAGGAAGGUUUCCUGAAUGUCUAGUCUAGCUGAGAUCUGCUGAGUACUGAUUGACCACCCAAGUGGCCACAUCACGCUUAUUGGGCCAAAGAAAAUGGGGCCCACUGGAUGCCUGAUUUUAGAAUAUCUGACUGGAAGACCCAGACACUUUAAUUGUGUUCACUUAAGCAUUUUUUUUGUACAGCAAAAAUGGGAAAUGACUUUCUAGGGAAAAUUGUGACUUUUCAUUACCCCCUUCAGUAUCUUUUUCUCAUUUAACUGGAAGGAAAAGCAUGAGGUUUUGGAUUAAAAACAAAACAAAAAAAAAACUGGGAUUCAGACCAGCUGUUACCAGUUUUGUGAGUUUGAUAAGGAAUUUUAUAGCUUUGAUGUUUAGUUGAUUUCAAAAUUGGAAGAACUAUAUCCAUCUCAUAAUAUUGCUGUGCAAAUUAAAUGAAACCAGUUAUUUUUGUUCUUAGACUUUGCUUUGUUCUAGAAAGAAUUUAAAGCAGUUUUAUAAAUAAGGAUAUUUUUGGGGCCAGCGCUGUGCCAUAACAGGUAAAGCUGCCACCUGCAGUGCCAGCAUCCCAUAUGGGCACCAGUUCAAAUCCUGGCUGCUCUUUUUCCAAUCAAGCUCUAUGCUAUGGCCCGGGAAAGCAGUGUAAGAUGGCCCAAAUGCUUGGGUCCCUGCACCCAUGUGGAAGACCUGGAGGAAGCUCCUGGCUUCUGGCUUCAGAUCAGCACAGCUCCAGCCAUUGUGGCCAACUGGGGAAUGAACUGGCAGACAGAAGACUGACUCUCUCUCUCUCUCUUUCUCUGCCUCUCCUUCUCUCUCUAUGUAACUCUGACUUUCAAAUACACAAAUAAAUCUUUGAAUAAAAAAUAAAUAAGACUCAAAUAUUCACACACAACCAUACAUAUACACAAUCAUAUGAUAUAUAUCAUAUGCACCAAUGUGGUAUAAUUUAAAACAUUUGUAGAAGAUGAAAAUGAAACAAAGGUGGGAACAUAGAGUAAAAUCACAAGUAAGAAUGAAAAUAUGAGUGGGAUACAAAAUUGAUUGUGAUCUUUAGAGCAGAUAGCAAAAAGAAAAAAGUCUGUAAAACACUUCACAGUGUGCAUAACAAAAAAGCAACAAGAUGUCCAAGAGAACAAGCAAAUGUCCUGGGUUCCAAGCCCAGGUUCUGCAUAUGGAAGACAGGAUGUUGGGGCCAGUGUUAUGGGGCGGCAGGUUAAGCCACUGCCUGUGAUGUCAACAUCCCAUGUAUGUGCUAGUUCCAGUCCUAGCUGCUCCACCUUGGAUCCAGCUCCACGUGCCUGGGAAAGCCGUGGAAGAUGACCCUGCCACACAUGUGGAAGAUCUGAAAGAAGUUCUCGGCUCCUAGCUUUGGCCAGGUCCAGCUCUGACUAUUUGGGUCAUUUGGGGACUGACCCAGCAGAUGGAAGAUUGCUCUCUCUCUCUGUCUCUCUCCCUAUCUCUCUGUAACUCUGGCUUUCAAAUAAAUAAAUAAAUCUUUUUUGAAAAAAGUAUGUGAGGUGAUGGGCUAAGUAUUCUGCAGCAGGCAUCCUCAGUAUGUGUGUGGUGGUCAUUUAGCAUCUGCUUAUAGCAUACAGCUCAGUCUCUCCUGGUUUCGCUGCAGCUUCUCUGGGAGAUGCUGCCUUGUUCCAGGUUCUGUUUCCCAGAACUCCCAAACUCCAAAUCAUCAGAAAUCUUCAAAUAACCUUGUAUUUUCUACAGUUUUCCCUACAGAUUUGGAGCCUGGAAAUAGGCUGUGCUCAAAUGAGGAGCAUACCCCUUUCUCCAUGGGGAUCAGACCUAAUCAUCGAAGACAGGCUGGGAAUUAGACUCUCUUUCUUGGCCUUUCAGCAGGAGCCUCAGAUGCUUGAGCUCAGCAUUUCUGCAGGAUUUUUUUCCUGUUGCAAAUCAUUUCUGCAAACAGAUGUCUAAGCAGUCCCUCCACAUCAAUGGGAUGAAGUUCUGCUUUGAAACAAAUGCUGCUCGAUUUAUACCAAAAUGACCAAAAUUGUAAACAGCUAAAAUGCUUGGGGAGAAUAACUGAUUAUCCAGAUUUGGACAAGGCUUGAAGUGUGACACUGCAUCUUGAAUAAUGAGAAGAGGACACACAUAUAUUGUUUAUGGUUUCUGCAGCUCCAAAAGUGAUUUAAGAAAAAUACCCUGAGCACCCAGUUAUCAAAGAAUAUUGAAUUUAUCUAAAAUAAUAAAUGCUAAAUUGCAGAUAAAA